GGAAUCUUCCACAAUGGACGCAAGUCUGGUGGAGCAACGCCGCGUGAGUGAAGAAGGUUUUCGGACCGUAAAGCUCUGUUGUUGGUGAAGAAGGAUAGAGGUAGUAACUGGCCUUUAUUUGACGGUAAUCAACCAGAAAGUCACGGCUAACUACGUGCCAGCAGCCGCGGUAAUACGUAGGUGGCAAGCGUUGUCCGGAUUUAUUGGGCGUAAAGCGAGCGCAGGCGGAAGAAUAAGUCUGAUGUGAAAGCCCUCGGCUUAACCGAGGAAUUGCAUCGGAAACUGUUUUUCUUGAGUGCAGAAGAGGAGAGUAGAACUCCAUGUGUAGCGGUGGAAUGCGUAGAUAUAUGGAAGAAUACCAGUGGCGAAGGCGGCUCUCUGGUCUGCAACUGACGCUGAGGCUCGAAAGCAUGGGUAGCGAACAGGAUUAGAUACCCUGGUAGUCCAUGCCGUAAACGAUGAGUGCUAAGUGUUGGGAGGCUUCCGCCUCUCAGUGCUGCAGCUAACGCAUUAAGCACUCCGCCUGGGGGAGUACGACCGCAAGGUUGAAAC
rnacentral:rRNA from 1 species